rnacentral:rRNA from 1 species
CAGUCGCCACGGUAAUACGGAGGGUGCAAGCGUUAAUCGGAAUUACUGGGCGUAAAGCGUGCGUAGGCGGUUCGUUAAGUCUGCUGUGAAAGCCCCGGGCUCAACCUGGGAAUGGCAAUGGAUACUGGCGAGCUAGAGUGUGUCAGAGGAUGGUGGAAUUCCCGGUGUAGCGGUGAAAUGCGUAGAGAUCGGGAGGAACAUCAGUGGCGAAGGCGGCCAUCUGGGACAACACUGACGCUGAGGCACGAAAGCGUGGGGAGCAAACAGGAUUAGAUACCCCCGUAGUCCCUGUCUCUUAUAC